rnacentral:lncRNA from 1 species
GCAGAACCCGAUAGUGAUGCCUACAAGUAGGGCACGACGUUGAUGAUGCCACCACCACUAGUAGCCUGGAUGAACCGGGGAACGGUUUUCAAUUAGAAGUACAUAAAACAACAGGGGUGGAGAGAUAUCAACACCAAGGUUUGAAGCGCUCUCGUGCGUCACCAUCAAUAUAGGUCAGGCAUAGCUUUUGGCAAAGGCUCCACCAAACCAUUGUACUAUAUGAACAUCUUCUCAAAUUAGGGUGAUUCAAAGGAAUGACACCUCGAAGGCGAGUCCAGGUCACUUGAUGUUUAGUGUGAAUGUUUUCUUCUCUACUGACUACCAUGAUACAUCUGUCCAUCAUAAACACCAGAAUGGGAGAAACCAGCAGCUGCCAUGGUGCUGCCGGGCACAGUAGUGUCUCUGCAGGUAGCAACUGGCGGCGUCAUGAACAGGACGGCGAUUACAAUGGCCGCCAGGAAGUGCUUUGACAGUUUUGUAGGUACGGUGAAGCUGCCUGGACCUGCGAUGAACAAGAGGAUGAUUACAAGGCCGCCAUGAAGUGCUUUGACAGUCUUGUGCGCGAUGCUGCCAGGAUCUGCUUCGUUUGGAGCUAUGACGCUAUUCCUCUGACCCGUCAAUGUAACACACCUAUUUUUUCACUAUCUUGACUCUCCAGUACAAUCUUGGAAUCAAUACAUGAUUGAUGAUUCUUCCAAACCACCUCUGAAGGUGAUAUAUAUACAAAACUCGGCAAGUACUAGGACUGGUGACUUAUGAGCGGUGGCCGACCGGCGUCCAUGCAUGUCCACGCGGACCUGAGGACAUAUAAUGUCAUUGUGAUGUCACAUUAACUCAUUUACCCUUAAAAACUAAUUAACAAAAUAUAAUCGUAUUUAUACUUGUAUGCAGAC